rnacentral:rRNA from 1 species
UUGAUCCUGGCUCAGAACGAACGCUGACGGCGUGGCUAAGACAUGCAAGUCGUACGAAGUUUUCAAUUGAGUAAUCGAGAGAAAACUUAGUGGCGAAAGGGUGAGUAAUGCAUAGGCAACGUACCCUGGGCACCGGGAUAGCUACGGGCUUCGGCCCUUUGCGAAAGUGUAGGUAAUACCGGAUAAUAUCUUCGAAUCGCACGGUUUGAAGAUCGAAGGCUUCGGCUGGCUUGGGAGCGGCCUGUGUCGUAUCAGCUUGUUGGUGAGGUAAUGGCUCACCAAGGCAACGACGGGUAGCGGGACUGAGAGGUUGGCCCGCAACAUCGGGACUGAGACACUGCCCGGACCUCCACGGAGGGCUGCAGUAACGGAUCUUGCGCAAUGGGCGAAAGCCUGACGCAGCGACGCCGCGUGUAGGAUGAAGUCUUUCGGGAUGUAAACUACUGUCAGGUCCUAGAAAGUCUUCGGAUUGAUCAGGACCAGAGGAAGCCACGGCUAACUUCGUGCCAGCAGCCGCGGUAAUACGAAGGUGGCUAGCGUUAUUCGGAAUCAUUGGGCUUAAAGCGCGCGUAGGCGGAAUAGUAAGUGUCUUGUGAAAUCCCUCGGCUUAACCGAGGAAUUGCUUGGCAAACUACUAUUCUUGAGACAAGUAGGGGUGCAUGGAACUCUUGGUGGAGCGGUGGAAUGCGUAGAUAUCAAGAGGAACGCCUGUGGAGAAGUCGGUGCACUGGGCUUGUUCUGACGCUGAGGUGCGAAAGCGUGGGUAGCGAAGAGGAUUAGAUACCCUCGUAGUCCACGCCGUAAACGAUGUCUACUAGGUCGCGGAAGUUCUGACACUCUCGCGGCCGAAGCAAAAGUGUUAAGUAGACCGCCUGGGGAGUACGGUCGCAAGGCUAAAACUCAAAGGAAUUGACGGGGGCUCACACAAGCGGUGGAGGAUGUGGCUUAAUUCGAGUCUACGCGAAGAACCUUAUCCUAGAUUUGACAUGUUUGGAUGCCCUCUUCGAAAGGAGAGUAAGCUGCCUUCGGGUGAAACAAGCACAGGUGCUGCAUGGCUGUCGUCAGCUCGUGUCGUGAGAUGUCGGGUUAAGUCCCUUAACGAGCGAAACCCUUAUCGUUAGUUGCCAGCGAGUAAUGUCGGGGACUCUAGCGAGACUGCCGGUGUUAAACCGGAGGAAGGUGGGGAUGACGUCAAGUCCUCAUGGCCUUUAUAUCUAGGGCUGCACACGUCCUACAAUGGUACAUACAGACCGACGCGAUACCGCGAGGUGGAGCAAAUCGGAUAAACGGGGCCCCAGUUCGGAUUGCAGGCUGCAACUCGACUGCAUGAAGCCGGAAUCGCUAGUAAUCGCGUAUCAGCUAUGACGCGGUGAAUGUGUUCCUGAGCCUUGUACACACCGCCCGUCAAGUCAUGGGAGCUGGGAGUACCUGAAGUCGGGUAGCUAACC